rnacentral:rRNA from 1 species
GAUGAACGCUGACAGAAUGCUUAACACAUGCAAGUCUACUUGAAUUUGGGUUUUUUAACUUAGAUUUGGGUGGCGGACGGGUGAGUAACGCGUAAAGAACUUGCCUCACAGCUAGGGACAACAUUUGGAAACGAAUGCUAAUACCUGAUAUUAUGAUUAUAAGGCAUCUUAGAAUUAUGAAAGCUAUAUGCGCUGUGAGAGAGCUUUGCGUCCCAUUAGCUAGUUGGAGAGGUAACGGCUCACCAAGGCGAUGAUGGGUAGCCGGCCUGAGAGGGUGAACGGCCACAAGGGGACUGAGACACGGCCCUUACUCCUACGGGAGGCAGCAGUGGGGAAUAUUGGACAAUGGACCAAGAGUCUGAUCCAGCAAUUCUGUGUGCACGAUGACGUUUUUCGGAAUGUAAAGUGCUUUCAGUUGGGAAGAAAAAAUGACGGUACCAACAGAAGAAGUGACGGCUAAAUACGUG